UACAGAGGUCCCAAGCGUUGUUCGGAUUCAUUGGGCGUAAAGGGUGCGUAGGCGGCGCGGUAAGUCGGGUGUGAAAUCUCGGGGCUUAACUCCGAAACUGCAUUCGAUACUGCCGUGCUUGAGGACUGGAGAGGAGACUGGAAUUUACGGUGUAGCGGUGAAAUGCGUAGAUAUCGUAAGGAAGACCAGUGGCGAAGGCGAGUCUCUGGACAGUUCCUGACACUGAGGCACGAAGGCCAGGGGAGCAAACGGG
rnacentral:rRNA from 1 species